UCCACGCCCAUCAGCGCAGCGAUGUGAAAAGGACCGGACAAGGCCGACGAUCAAGUCUGGGCUAAAGCCCAGCCACAUCAGCCAUUGACGACGCCGCUGCGAACUCAAAAAGGUCUGUGGAUUUCAAGUUUUCCGACGUCGUUUCCGGUGACUCCGGCUGUUGUUUCCGUCGAUCGAUGUGGAGGUUAGUGUGUGGUGUUGGUUUUUGAAAGUAGAUCAAGCUUGGUGGUUGUUAUGGAAUUUCAGUUUGCAUAAAUGAUGAAGACGGUGAAAUGAAGAGAUGUUUUGUUGAGAUGGUUUAAUGAAGAUGCGUGCUUGAAGUUACUAUUUUCGAGACAGUUUUGUGUUGUAAUAAAAUGUUUUGGACUUUUUGUAACCAAAAUAAAAAAAUAAAAAAAAUAUGGGCUUUUUUAUAAAAUUGGAUUGGGCUUGUUUUGGGUGUUUUUUGAGUUUUUUUUCAGUGGCAGUCCUGUAAUUUAUAGGAACUUCAACACCAAUUUCUUAUAUAAUAAAUGGAUUUUGGGUGUA